CAACCCUCAAGCCUCGCUUGGUAUUGGGCUCCGCUGCUUAUCCAGCGGGCCUUAAAAUCAGUGGCGGUGCCGUCGGGCUCCUGAGCGCAGUAAAUAUCCUCGCUUUAGGGACCGGUGGACGCUUGUCAUCAACCCAACUUUCUCA
rnacentral:misc_RNA from 1 species